GAGCUGUCCUUAGUACGAGAGGACCGGGAUGGACGCACCGCUGGUGUACCAGUUGUUCUGCCAAGGGCAUCGCUGGGUAGCUAUGUGCGGACGGGAUAAGUGCUGAAAGCAUCUAAGCAUGAAGCCCCCCUCAAGAUGAGAUUUCCCAUUCCGCAAGGAAGUAAGAUCCCUGAAAGAUGAUCAGGUUGAUAGGUCUGAGGUGGAAGCGUGGUGACACGUGGAGCUGACAGAUACUAAUAGAUCGAGGACUUAACCUU
rnacentral:rRNA from 1 species